rnacentral:rRNA from 1 species
UACGGAAGGGGCUAGCGUUGUUCGGAAUUACUGGGCGUAAAGCGCGCGCAGGCGGUUGGACAAGUGAGGCGUGAAAGCCCUGGGCUCAACCUGGGAAUUGCGUUUCAGACUGUCUGACUGGAGUUCGGGAGAGGGUGGUGGAAUUCCCAGUGUAGAGGUGAAAUUCGUAGAUAUUGGGAGGAACACCGGUGGCGAAGGCGGCCGCCUGGCCCGUAACUGACGCUAUAGCGCGAAAGCGUGGGGAGCAAACAGG